GACGAACGCUGGCGGUGUGCCUAACACAUGCAAGUCGAGCGGACCUUUCGGGGUCAGCGGCGGACGGGUGAGUAACACGUGGGCAAUCUGCCCGAUACUCUGGGAUAACGCUUGGAAACGAGUGCUAAUACCGGAUGGUCUUCUUGGCCGCAUGGCCGAAAAGGAAAAGACGCGUUCGCGUCGGUGUCGGAUGAGCCCGCGGCGCAUUAGCUAGUUGGUGAGGUAACGGCCCACCAAGGCGACGAUGCGUAGCCGACCUGAGAGGGUGACCGGCCACACUGGGACUGAGACACGGCCCAG
rnacentral:rRNA from 1 species